AGUGAACGCUGGCGGUAGGCCUAACACAUGCAAGUCGAACGGCAGCACAGUAAGAGCUUGCUCUUACGGGUGGCGAGUGGCGGACGGGUGAGGAAUACAUCGGAAUCUACUUUUUCGUGGGGGAUAACGGAGGGAAACUUACGCUAAUACCGCAUACGACCUACGGGGGGAAGCAGGGGAUCUUCGGACCUUGCGCGAUUGAAUGAGCCGAUGGCGGAUUAGCUAGUUGGCGGGGUAAAGGCCCACCAAGGCGACGAUCCGUAGCUGGUCUGAGAGGAUGAUCAGCCACACUGGAACUGAGACACGGUCCACACUCCUACGGGAGGCAGCAGUGGGGAAUAUUGGACAAUGGGCGCAAGCCUGAUCCAGCCAUACCGCGUGGGUGAAGAAGGCCUUCGGGUUGUAAAGCCCUUUUGUUGGGAAAGAAAAGCAGCAGGUUAAUACCCCGCUGUUCUGACGGUACCCAAAGAAUAAGCACCGGCUAACUUCGUG
rnacentral:rRNA from 1 species